UCCGGUUUGUCACCGGCAGUCUCCCAUGAGUCCCCGGCAUUACCCGCUGGCAACAUGGAACAGGGGUUGCGCUCGUUGCGCCACUUAAGGCAACACCUCACGGCACGAGCUGACGACAGCCGUGCAGCACCUGUGCAGGCUCCCGAAGGAGCCCCGUGUUUCCACGGGUUUACCCUGCAUGUCAAGCCCUGAUAAGGUUCUUCGCGUUGCGUCGAAUUAAGCCACAUGCUCCGCCGCUUGUGCGGGUCCCCGUCAAUUUCUUUGAGUUUUAACCUUGCGGCCGUACUCCCCAGGCGGGACACUUAUUGCGUUAGCUUCGGCACGGAGGGGGUCGACUCCCCCCACACCUAGUGUUCAUCGUUUACGGCUAGGACUAC
rnacentral:misc_RNA from 1 species